rnacentral:lncRNA from 1 species
UUUGUAUUUAAAUAUUAAAAAUGAUUCCAACUCAAAAAAAGAAAAAAGGCAAACUACCCACUAUACAACCAUGGAGUUGCCUGUCUACACUUACAGAAGUUGUUCAAACCAAAGAAGUUUACUGUAGAAUAGAUAUGGGUCCUUUUGAGAGGCCAAAACGAUGAUGAGGAUUCCAUAUGACUGGCAAAUCCAGGGGAACGCCACCAAGGAAAAUAUGGAUGAAGCAACUUGAGGGCAGGAGCCACAUAUAUUUCAGUUCUUCAUUAUGUUGCCAGUGCUCAGCAUAGUAUGGGAAAUGGUGACAAGAAAUAGAAGUGGAGUGGGUUACUGCUUUAACUACUCUGGGAUUGCAGUACAAAUUCUUGCAGCCCAUGUGCCCUGAUUUAGAGAGAGCCUUAUAGAGCUGUGAAGGGACCAGAAAUAGAGCAGAUUCAUGGAGUCCUAGUUUUUUUUAGUGGAAGAACCAGCACUGGGAUUCACAUUGGUUUUUGUUUUAUGACUCGUAAAAACUGAAUGUAUUUUUAUAUUUUUGUAGUAUUUUUAAUUGUAUAUAUUCCUGGGGGUGUUGGGAAAUUAUUUUAUACAUGAAUACAGUGUGUAAUUAUCAAAUCAAGGUAAUUGGCAUUUCCAUCUCCUUAAAUAUUUAUCCUUUCUUUGUGUGGGGGCUUUCCAACUCC